UUUAUUGAGAGUUUGAUCCUGGCUCAGGACGAACGCUGGCGGCGUGCCUAACACAAGCAAGUCAAACGGGGCUCUUUGGAUCGAGACUUCGGUCAAGUGAAGCUGAGCUUAGUGGCGGACGGGUGAGUAACGCGUGAGCAACCUGCCUUUCAGAGGGGGAUAACGUCUUGAAAAGGACGCUAAUACCGCAUGAUAUUAUGGAGCCACAUGGCUCUAUAAUCAAAGGAGCAAUCCGCUGAAAGAUGGGCUCGCGUCCG
rnacentral:rRNA from 1 species